AUGCCUAGGAGGUUCGGCUCCUCCUCGUCUUCCUCCUCGCACUCCUCCUCACGGUCUUCUUCCCACUCCUCCGGCUCUCCGGCGCUGCUCGGCGUCAAGGCCGAGCCCGCGGCAGGGACGCCGCUCGGCCGGCGCACUCGCAGCGCCGGCAUCGUCAUCAAUGAGGGUGGCCGGCGCGCCUCCUCGUCGGCUCCUCCGUGCUUCGUCAAGCCAAAGACGGAGCCAGGGCUCGCGCCGGUGAAAACGGAGCCGGGUCUCCCCGCCGUGAAGACGGAACACGGCGAUGUGGAGCUCGACGAUGAGGCGGCCCUUAAAUUGGCGCGCAAGGACUUCCUGAAGAUGGAGAGGGAGCGCCAGUGCGCCGCCCUGCGGUGA
rnacentral:rRNA from 1 species